AUUGAACGCUGGCGGCAUGCCUUACACAUGCAAGUCGAACGGUAACGCGGGGCAACCUGGCGACGAGUGGCGAACGGGUGAGCAAUGUAUCGGAACGUGCCCAGUUGUGGGGGAUAACUGCUCGAAAGAGCAGCUAAUACCGCAUACGACCUGAGGGUGAAAGCGGGGGAUCGCAUGACCUCGCGCAAUUGGAGCGGCCGAUAUCAGAUUAGGUAGUUGGUGGGGUAAAGGCUCACCAAGCCAACGAUCUGUAGCUGGUCUGAGAGGACGACCAGCCACACUGGGACUGAGACACGGCCCAGACUCCUACGGGAGGCAGCAGUGGGGAAUUUUGGACAAUGGACGCAAGUCUGAUCCAGCCAUGCCGCGUGCGGGAAGAAGGCCUUCGGGUUGUAAACCGCUUUUGUCAGGGAAGAAACGCUCUGGGUUAAUACCUCGGGGUAAUGACGGUACCUGAAGAAUAAGCACCGGCUAACUACGUGCCAGCCGCCGCCGUAACAC
rnacentral:rRNA from 1 species